rnacentral:lncRNA from 1 species
GGUAGGGGCAGGGGACAGAACAAUAGAAAACUCAAGCUCUGACUCUGUAUUCUAAGAACAAUGUGAAUCAAUGAGUUAUAACAAAGACAAUAUUCAAUAGUAGGAAAUUAGGUACAGUUUAAGGUUAAUAUGUAUGUAUACUAGAUUUUAUACCCCCCCAUCUUAAAAUGAAAUUCCAGAAAGAGAAGUACUUUAGAAAGCAGACAUGUUAUCCAUGUUAUCGAGAUGAACCCCUUGGUCUUUUGAAUUCAGAUUGACUGGUUUCAAAGAAAAAUAUGGGGUUUUUGCCUAUACUGAAACUAGCAAAUUGUUUCUUACUAUCUUCUUACACAGUCUCAGAAGUUGUGUUUUGUUAGCCCAGUUCUACAGAAUAUUCACAUAAUUAGAUAACAUUAUUGAAACCUAGAAGAUGGGAAAAAUGCUAUUUUCCCCCUCCAGCUACAAACUAACAGGGCUAUUUGGCAGCAUCCUGGCUACCUUUGACUUUUCUUCAGCCAAAGGAAAUAUCAAAGACCCGGUUGCCUAGAGAAGAAUAGUUAUAUUAUUUAUAUUUUGAAGGCAGCAUUCAGUUUCCAUGACCAUCCGUGGCUUGUUAAGGAAAUCUGUGUCUUAUGCCACUCAGAGAUAGCUCGAAUUGCCUGUCAGGAGAUGUCUGGGCAGCCUUGUAAACUCAGAAUGACUUCUCAAAUCCUGCUAGGUUUUCCCAGCGAUGUGCUUUCCUCCGCGCUGAAGCCCUGGGAGUCAUGUCAGCCCAAGGAAAAAGGAAAGCCAAACUGAGAGACGCGCCGAAAUUUGGAGCUUGGAGUUGAGAACUGAAACUAGGAAGAAAGGCGGUGGUGGGUACCGAUCCAGACGCGCCCCCCUUUUAAUGCUGUCAGAUAAGUUGCUGUCAGGCUCUUUAGCGCGCUGCUGGCCCCGGGCGCCCGCUGCACCGCCACCUGCUUCGGGGCAGUAAUUAAUCAGUACCUGGGCUCACUCGACCGGUGAGAUGGCUCCAGCCACGCGCAGAGCCAUGGGGCCGAGGGCCGGGUGGGUCUGGACGUACUUCAAGAGACAUAAGUCUUUUGCGACUGAGAUCUCAUCCCACCAUUGCUGAUCUCACAGUACAGAGCUCUUAAUCCGGUGCGGGUACAGCUCUGGUCAACUAAGGGGUGGUGGUAAAAGUUGACCAAAGAAAAGUUGUGAGUAUGAGAUUUCUACCGCAAUAAUGACUGAGUGUGGCGCUGCUUUCUUUAUACAGUAGAUGCAAAUUCUGGGAACAGGCAAAUAGUGUGUCAAAUCUGGGGCACUGUGGUUAACACCGGGCAUGGAGCAAACAAGACUCACCACCCACAAAUUGCACUCUUUUUAAACCCAUUGUCGCUUUGGGCUCAGAUCCUAAGAUUUCGUGUGCCAGUUUCCUAUGGUGAGGGAGUGGUCGGAAAGAGGAAUCAAGCGAGGGCCAGAACUUCGGGGUUCUGGUGGAGGGGAG